UACGUAGGGUGCGAGCGUUAAUCGGAAUUACUGGGCGUAAAGCGUGCGCAGGCGGUCUGUUAAGACAGAUGUGAAAUCCCCGGGCUUAACCUGGGAACUGCAUUUGUGACUGGCAGGCUAGAGUAUGGCAGAGGGGGGUAGAAUUCCACGUGUAGCAGUGAAAUGCGUAGAUAUCUGGAGGAACACCGGUGGCGAAGGCGGCAUCCUGGACCAACACUGACGCUGAGGAGCGAAAGCCAGGGGAGCAAACGGG
rnacentral:rRNA from 1 species